rnacentral:lncRNA from 1 species
UAUCGGACAUGAACAUGAUGCAAGGCUCCUGCAAUGUCCCACUCCAAAAUGAUAGCCAUACAAAUCUUUGAAAAUUCAUGGAACCUUAUAAUGUCAAAGCCAUUACUUCUCGCUACCCCAUCACAGAGUCAAUGGAAUCUUAAAAACUUAAAUGUAUACUGAUGAAUGGUGACACUACAAAUUUUCGUCGAGGUUGUCGUCAAUAAAACCUACAUAGUACAAUCAAUGUUCCAUAAGACUUGCAAUAGCAGGAGAAGACCAAGCAGAUGAAUAGCCUACAAUCAUUGAACCCAUGCUUACGGCAAUACUUGCUUGUAUUUGUGACCGAGUAAAGGUUUUACCGCCUUCAGGGGGAGGUCGAUAAGGCUGAGUUAACUCAAUAUGUGUAUCUGAAUGAAACAUGGUCCAAUUAUUAGAAUUUGAAUUUGUUUAAAAGACACUUUUCAAGUCUUAUAAGUAGGUAUUGGAGUGAACUUCGUAUAAAGAGAAAUAUGUAUUUAAACUGAAUGAAUUUGCGCGGAACUUUAUUUUGAAAUAAAGUUGUGUACUAACUAUAUAAACAUUGACUUAACUCCCUCAACAACUCCAAGGCACGCGAAAUUAUUCUUCAACUAUAUUUCUCUAUUACUAUUUUUUUUUUUUUUUUUUUUUUU